rnacentral:rRNA from 1 species
GACGAACGCUGGCGGCGUGCUUUACACAUGCAAGUCGAACGGUGAAGGUGGAGCUUGCUCCGCCGGAUCAGUGGCGAACGGGUGAGUAACACGUGGGCAACCUGCCCCUAACUUUGGGAUAACUACUCGAAAGAGUAGCUAAUACCGGAUAUGAAGUCUGUAGGCAUCUAUGGAUUUGGAAAGAAUUUCGGUCAAGGAUGGACUCGCGGCCUAUCAGCUAGUUGGUGAGGUAACGGCUCACCAAGGCGACGACGGGUAGCCGGCCUGAGAGGGUGACCGGCCACACUGGGACUGGGACAAGGCCCAGACUCCGAGGGGGGGCGGCGGGGGGGAAUAUUGCACAAGGGGCGAAAGCCUGAUGCAGCACCGCCGGGUGAGGGAGGACGGCCUUCGGGUUGUAAACCUCUUUUGGUGGGGAAGAAGCGAAGGUGACGGUACCUGCAGAAAAAGCACCGGCUAACUACGUGCCAGCCGCCGCGGUAA